GAUGUGUAGGAUAGGUGGGAGGCUUUGAAGCGUGGACGCCAGUCUGCGUGGAGCCGACCUUGAAAUACCACCCUUUAAUGUUUGAUGUUCUAACGUGGACCCGUAAUCCGGGUUGCGGACAGUGUCUGGUGGGUAGUUUGACUGGGGCGGUCUCCUCCUAAAGAGUAACGGAGGAGCACGAAGGUUGGCUAAUCCUGGUCGGACAUCAGGAGGUUAGUGCAAUGGCAUAAGCCAGCUUGACUGCGAGCGUGACGGCGCGAGCAGGUGCGAAAGCAGGUCAUAGUGAUCCGGUGGUUCUGAAUGGAAGGGCCAUCGCUCAACGGAUAAAAGGUACUCCGGGGAUAACAGGCUGAUACCGCCCAAGAGUUCAUAUCGACGGCGGUGUUUGGCACCUCGAUGUCGGCUCAUCACAUCCUGGGGCUGAAGUAGGUCCCAAGGGUAUGGCUGUUCGCCAUUUAAAGUGGUACGCGAGCUGGGUUUAGAACGUCGUGAGACAGUUCGGUCCCUAUCUGCCGUGGGCGCUGGAGAACUGAGGGGGGCUGCUCCUAGUACGAGAGGACCGGAGUGGACGCAUCACUGGUGUUCGGGUUGUCAUGCCAAUGGCACUGCCCGGUAGCUAAAUGCGGAAGAGAUAAGUGCUGAAAGCAUCUAAGCACGAAACUUGCCCCGAGAUGAGUUCUCCCUGAGACUUUAGGUCUCCUGAAGGAACGUUGAAGACGACGACGUUGAUAGGCCGGGUGUGUAAGCGCAGCGAUGCGUUGAGCUAACCGGUACUAAUGAACCGUGAGGCUUAACCUUACA
rnacentral:rRNA from 1 species